AAUCAACGCUGGCGGCGUGCCUAACACAUGCAAGUCGAGCGCGAAUAGGGGGGCAACUCCCUUAGUAGAGCGGCAAACGGGUGAGUAACGCGUGGGUGAUCUACCUUCGAGUGGGGAGCAACACCGGGAAACUGGUGCUGAUACCGCAUGACAUCCCGGGUCCACACCGGGAUCAAAGCUGGGGACCGUAAGGCCUGGCGCUUGAAGACGAGCCCGCGUCCGAUUAGCUAGNGGUCGGGGUAACGGGCCCACCAAGGCGACGAUCGGUAGCCGGCCUG
rnacentral:rRNA from 1 species